rnacentral:miRNA from 1 species
UAAGGUGACCAACCAUCCUGGUUUGCCUGGGACUGAUGGGUUUCCUGGGACAUGAGAUUUUCAAUUUUAAAACCAGGAUAGUC